rnacentral:rRNA from 1 species
UGGGGAAUAUUGCACAAUGGGCGCAAGCCUGAUGCAGCCAUGCCGCGUGUGUGAAGAAGGCCUUCGGGUUGUAAAGCACUUUCAGCGAGGAGGAAGGUGGUGGACUUAAUACGUUCAUCAAUUGACGUUACUCGCAGAAGAAGCACCGGCUAACUCCGUGCCAGCAGCCGCGGUAAUACGGAGGGUGCAAGCGUUAAUCGGAAUUACUGGGCGUAAAGCGCACGCAGGCGGUUUGUUAAGUCAGAUGUGAAAUCCCCGGGCUCAACCUGGGAACUGCAUUUGAAACUGGCAAGCUAGAGUCUCGUAGAGGGGGGUAGAAUUCCAGGUGUAGCGGUGAAAUGCGCAGAGAUCUGGAGGAAUACCGGUGGCGAAGGCGGCCCCCUGGACGAAGACUGACGCUCAGGUGCGAAAGCGUGGGGAGCAAAACAGGAUUAGAUACCCUGGUAGUCCACGCUGUAAACGAUGUCGAUUUGGAGGUUGUGCCCUUGAGGCGUGGCUUCCGGAGCUAACGCGUUAAAUCGACCGCCUGGGGAGUACGGCCGCAAGGUUAAAACUCAAAUGAAUUGACGGGGUCAUAGCUGUUUCCUG